UACGAAGGGGGCGAGCGUUGUUCGGAAUUACUGGGCGUAAAGGGCGCGUAGGCGGCCGAUCAAGUCAGAUGUGAAAGUCCUGGGCUUAACCUGGGGACUGCAUUUGAUACUGAUUGGCUUGAAUUCGGGAGAGGAUAGCGGAAUUCCCGGUGUAGAGGUGAAAUUCGUAGAUAUUGGGAAGAACACCGGUGGCGAAGGCGGUUGUCUGGACCGAUAUUGACGCUGAGGCGCGAAAGCGUGGGGAGCAAUCAGG
rnacentral:rRNA from 1 species